CACUUAGUAGGUUUCCAUACCAAGGCUCAAUCCAAUUAAGUCCGUAGCGUCUACCAAUUUCGCCAUAUCCCCUUUUAUGUCUUGAGAUUAGGAUCUCAUUAGGAUGCCCCUCCUUCCCCCUUUCUCCCUCCUUUCCCCCUUCUUUCAUUUGUUUAUUUUCUUUCAUUUAUUUAUUUGCUUUCUUUUUAUGCGAAACCGUUGAAUUUAGUAGAUAUAGAUACAGAUUCUUAUAUCGAAGGGUCUUUACCUAUUUUCUUGUUUGUUUAUCUGUCUUUCGUCUCUAUCGGAGACCCAUAUUAAUUUUUAUUUGGUCCAA
rnacentral:lncRNA from 1 species